AAUAGAUACCCUGGUAGUCCACGCCGUAAACAAUGAGUGCUAAGUGUUAGAGGGUUUCCGCCCUUUAGUGCUGCAGCUAACGCAUUAAGCACUCCGCCUGGGGAGUACGGUCGCAAGACUGAAACUCAAAGGAAUUGACGGGGGGCCCGCACAAGCGGUGGAGCAUGUGGUUUAAUUCGAAGCAACGCGAAGAACCUUACCAGGUCUUGACAUCCUCUGACAACUCUAGAGAUAGAGCAUUCCCCUUCGGGGGACAGAGUGACAGGUGGUGCAUGGUUGUCGUCAGCUCGUGUCGUGAGAUGUUGGGUUAAGUCCCGCAACGAGCGCAACCCUUGAUCUUAGUUGCCAGCAUUCAGUUGGGCACUCUAAGGUGACUGCCGGUGACAAACCGGAGGAAGGUGGGGAUGACGUCAAAUCGUCAUGCCCCUUAUGACCUGGGCUACACACGUGCUACAAUGGAUGGUACAAAGGGCUGCAAGACCGCGAGGUCAAGCCAAUCCCAUAAAAACCAUUCUCAGUUCGGAUUGU
rnacentral:rRNA from 1 species